GAUGGGAAACAGGUUAAUAUUCCUGUACUUGGUGUUACUGCGAAGGGGGGACGGAGAAGGCUAGGCUAGCCGGGCGACGGUUGUCCCGGUUUAAGCGUGUAGGGGGUGUGACCUGGUAAAUCCGGUUACAUAUCAACCCUGAGGCGUGAUGACGAUGCACUACGGUGCAGAAGUAGUUGAUGCCCUGCUUCCAGGAAAAGCCUCUAAGCUCCAGGUAACAUUGAAUCGUACCCCAAACCGACACAGGUGGUCAGGUAGAGAAUACCAAGGCGCUUGAGAGAACUCGGGUGAAGGAACUAGGCAAAAUGGUGCCGUAACUUCGGGAGAAGGCACGCUGGCAUGUAGGUGAA
rnacentral:rRNA from 2 species